UACGUAGGGGGCAAGCGUUGUCCGGAAUCAUUGGGCGUAAAGAGCGUGUAGGCGGCCCGAUAAGUCCGCUGUGAAAGUCCAGGGCUCAACCCUGGGAUGCCGGUGGAUACUGUCGGGCUCGAGUCCGGAAGAGGAGUGUGGAAUUCCUGGUGUAGCGGUGAAAUGCGCAGAUAUCAGGAGGAACACCAAUGGCGAAGGCAGCACUCUGGGACGUGACUGACGCUGAGACGCGAAAGCUAGGGGAGCGAACAGG
rnacentral:rRNA from 1 species